rnacentral:rRNA from 1 species
AACGCGAAGAACCUUACCCAGUCUUGACAUGCAGAGGACAGUCCUAGAGAUAGGAUCUCCCUUCGGGGCCUUUGCACAGGUGCUGCAUGGCUGUCGUCAGCUCGUGCCGUGAGGUGUUUGGUUAAGUCCAGCAACGAGCGCAACCCUUAUCAUUAGUUGCCAACAUUUAAGGUGGGAACUCUAAUGAGACUGCCUGGGUUAACCAGGAGGAAGGUGAGGAUGACGUCAAGUCCGCAUGGCCCUUAUGACUGGGGCUACACACGUGCUACAAUGGUCGGUACAGAAGGCAGCGAAGCCGCGAGGUGGAGCAAAUCCCAAAAGCCGAUCUCAGUUCAGAUUGUAGUCUGCAACUCGACUACAUGAAGACGGAAUUGCUAGUAAUGGCAGGUCAGCAACACUGCCGUGAAUACGUUCCCGGGCCUUGUACACACCGGAGUGC